rnacentral:lncRNA from 10 species
GAGAUGGCUGAUGCUGGAAGCUCUAGUAGGCAUUGGCCGCCUGGUUACCAGCAGUGGGAGCAGGCGGAGUCACCCUCCCUGUUGUCUAAGUGCUUCCUAGACAACAGGAGGCUGCACCCCCUGACUGAGUUCAGGCAGGAGCUGAACCACUGGAGUGGAAGCUCCAGCAGUGGUGGAGGUUUCUGUUGAAUCUCUGUGUUGCUUCUUAGAUAAAUGUUCACAGUGUGAAUCUCUACACACUGUUUUGCUCUUUCUAAGCAGGUAAGACAUGCUAACAAAGCCUCUGGUCCACCGUCUUGGAGUUAAAACAAACAAAUCAACAAAACGUGCUUUUCUAGCAGCUAGUAUAACAAUAUCUAGUAAAUAAUGUUGAAAGUUGGUCUCAUGGAGAACACAUUGUCUCUUAUUCUGAAAAUACCCAUUUGAAUUUCUUAUGGGACAUCAGCAGCAAACAAGUAAUUUCUUGGGAUGCUUGGGAGAAACUCUAGUCUAACAAUCCAUUCUUUCAUUUUUCGUUAUUAACAAAACACAGAUUUUUGCCCUGGAGGGCAAUGAGCUCAACCAGAAAUUAUUUUCUUUUCCUUUGCUGUUAUAAGGGGGCAUGUGAUGAAUUCCUAAUCAGAGGGGCAGAAUUGGAGAACUAUAGCAUGUUUCUAAAAAAUCUUUUAAUUUUUCUGGUAAAUAAAAAAGAUAAGUUGGCACUAGCCUUCUUACUGUCUUGAGUACUGUACUUUACUGUACUGUCUUGAGAUGGACAAGUAUUCUAAGCUGCAAUAGCCUUGUUGUCUAUUAACCAAGUUUCCCUCAUCUAGAUGCAUAGGUAAUUGAUAUGAAGAAUGUGGCUUCCUUUAUCCUUCUCUCCUCAGCCAAGUUAAUAGAUGCUUAUUGAACUGAAUCAAGGCUUUAGAAUUCAGAGAAUGUGACUCUGUUUAUUUAGGCUUAAUAUCUAGAUAAGAACCUCAGCACACUUUCUUCCAACACUUAAAAGUACAUUUUGUGUUUUGUUUUGUUCCUUUUUUGGUCAAGUUACUUAGGUAGGACAGGGACAACAGACAACAGGCAGCAAGGGGGAAGCAAUUUUUUAAAUAUUUGUUUGGACAGCAACUGACUGACUUUCUCAAACAUUAUUUCUUUCUUUCAGAUUUUCAUACUUUCAUGCAUCAAAAGAUGUAUAUGGCUAGUGGAAGAGAAAAAAAGUAAACUACAAAGAAGGAUGGGUCAAAAGAUAAAGAUAACUGCCUAACAAAUGUGUAUGUCUUUAUCAUGAUCUUAAUAAAACUUACAAUGUAGAUAACAUGUAAUAUAGAAUUGUCAUAAUGCAAUUACUAUGGUUGAAAAUACUAUGAUUUCUUGCCUGAAACCAUGACUCUUACUUUCCAUCUCUUUGUGAAGUUCCACUUCACAUAUACACACAAUCUCAAUACUUACUCAAACAUAUCAAAGAUACAACACUGCUGCUACUGCUACUAUUUAUAAGUUUACUGUUCCUACAUUAUUUUUCCAUCUAGUGUUUCAGUUAAUCUUGUCAACAACUCAAGUAAAAAUGAUAAAUCUCACAAGUUCAAAAAUUAGGAGUAAAAAGUAUAUGUAUUCAUAAAUGAGAAUUGUGAUAUUCUAGUUGGAUUUUAUAUAAAACUUUAGAAGAUAGCUUGUGAUUUAAAUAACACAAUCAAUAGACUUGUAAAGCUGUACAAUACCUAAAAACUGAAUAAACAACAUGGAUUUCCAGAGUGUCAAAUGACGUGGAUGAAAAUUUUUGGCUUACGUGAAUUUUAGUUGACCAAAGAAGGGAGUGAGCCUUUUUCUUUUUUUUCUUUUUUUUUUUUUUUUUGAGAAAGAGUCUCACUCUGUCGCCCAGGCUGGAGUGCAGUGGCACAAUCUUGGCAGGAGUGAGCCCUUUUUAAUUAUCAGGAGCCAUGCCAGUAACUUCGAGGGAAUAUGAGUAUUGUUUGUGCUGCAGAAUGUCUAUAAUAUGUACGAGGGUUGUUUGAGGAGUCAGCAUGUUGAUGUUUCAUUGUAAAACAUAGGGAUUGAAUAGAAGAGAGAAAGCUAACAAUCUGAAUGUCUACAAAACCAAUCCAGUUUUUGAAAAUGGAAACUAUGCUAAGAUAUAUGUGUCCUCUGAUGAGCCAAAUUUCAGUUAUUUGUUACACUCUGCUUAUUGUAGAAUUUGGAUGAUCCAUUGACACUAGCUGAGGAUCCUUCCAGCUAGAACUUUAUUGAAGUAAACUAUCAGGGAACCUGCCCCAAUAGUCACGUAGGUUCUUUUCUAUUUUCCCUAAGCAUCGGCCGGUUUGAGAAAUAAAGGGACAGAGUACAAAAGAGAGAAAUUUUAGAGCUGGGCGUCCGGAGGAGACAUCACAUGUUGGUAGGUUCCGUGAUGCCCCACAAGCCGCAAAAACCAGCAAGUUUUUAUUAGGGAUUUUCAAAAGGGGAGGGAGUGUGCAAAUAGGUGUGGGUCACAGACAUCAAGUACUUCACAAGAUAAUAGAAUAUCACAAGGCAAAUGGAGGCAGGGUGAGAUCACAGGACCACAGGACCGGGGCGAAAUUAAAAUUGCUAAUGAAGUUUCGGGCACCACUGUCAUUGAUAACAUCUUAUCAGGAGACAGGGUUUUGAGAGCAACUGGUCUGACCAAAAUUUAUUAGACGGGAAUUUCCUCUUCCUAAUAAGCCUGGGAGUGCUAUGGGAGACUGGGGUCUAUUUCACCCCUACAGUCUACAGACCAUAGAAAAUGACCACACCCAGGGGGGCCAUCUAUAGACCUACCCCCAGGCACAUAUUCUCUUUCCCAGGGAUGUUCCUUGUUGAGAAAAAGAAUUCAGUGAUAUUUCUCCCAUUUGCUUUUGAAAGAAGAGAAAUAUGGCUCUGUUCUGCCCGGCUCACUGGCAGUCACAGUUUAAGGUUAUCUCUCUUGUUUCCUAAACAUUGCUGUUAUCUUGUUCUUUUUUCAAGGUGCCCAGAUUUCAUAUUGUUCAAACACACAUGCUCUACAAUUUGUGCAGUUAAUGCAAUUAUCACAGGGUCCUGAGGGGCAUACAUCCUCCUCGGCUUACGAGAUGACAGGAUUAAGAGAUUAAAGUAAAGACAGGCAUAGGAAAUCACAAGGGUAUUGAUUGAGGAAGUUAUAAGUGUCCAUGAAAUCUUCACAAUUUAUGUUUAGAGAUUGCAGUAAAGACAGGCAUAAGAAAUUAUAAAAGUAUUAAUUUGGGGAACUAAUAAAUGUCCAUGAAAUCUUCACAAUCCACAUUCUUCUGCCAUGGCUUCAGCCAGUCCCUCCAUUUGGGGUCCCUGACUUCCUGCAACAGUAAACAGCAAUAAGAAAAUUCUUCCUGAUUAAAUCAUGAUCAUUACUGACAUCAAAAUACUGGCUUCCAAAAAUUAGAACUUGAAGCAAUACCAUCUUGAAAUACUUACUUGUACUCCUAAUCAUUCUCUACACCAGGAUGAAUUUGGUGUGUCUUUCCAAAAAGAAAGCAUUUCUACAAUUUCAUCCUUAUUUUGACUAAAGAAUAGAAAUAAAGACAAUAUUAAACAUCUCUACAUUGUUUUUGUUAAUAUAUUAAUAGAGAAAAAAAUUGGGGGAAUGGUAAAAGAAGGCUAACGCAUGUUUUCUUUUCCAUUGUUUUGGUAGUCACAAACCUUAGGGAAAAAAACUGAUUUUACAACGCCUUUUUUCUUUGUUUGUUUUCUUUCCUAGAGGGCAUAUGCACCCAGGUAAGAAUAAACUAAAUUCUUUGGUCCAGGACCCAAAGUAUCACAAAAUAUUUGUUUUUAAAUGUUUAUUACACAUGAGCUUUUGCACAAGGCAUUGUAUAUGUAUUAUUUAGUUUGAUUGUACAACUGUAAGAUAUCAUAUUUAAUUCAUAGGUGCAGGAUCUGAAGCCAGAGGAAUCAUAUGAUAGUAUACCAUAAAGAAAUUAAAGCCCACUUUGUCUUUAUUUGAAAACUCCUGCUGCCUGAAUGAUUCUCUAGUCCCAGCGUCACAAUUAUCUGUUGUCUACAAAAACUGCAAUCCCAGCUGUCUGAAAUCACACUGCCUGGGCCGAAUGCCAGAGCACACACCCAUGUUUUGGACCUCUUUUUUUUUUAUUGUUAUUUUUUACAAUGCAAAUACAGUUGACCCUUGAAGAAUGCAGUGUUAGGGAUACUGACCUCUAGUGCAGUUGAAAAUUUGUCUAUACCUUUUGAUUUUCAAGAAACUUGUUUACUAACAGCUUACUGUUGACUGGAAGCCUUACCAAUAACAGCCAAUUGACAUAUAUUGUAUAUGUUAUGUGUGUUUUAU